rnacentral:rRNA from 1 species
UACAGAGGGUGCGAGCGUUAAUCGGAAUUACUGGGCGUAAAGGGUGCGUAGGCGGUUAUGUAAGACAGGUGUGAAAUCCCCGGGCUUAACCUGGGAACUGCAUUUGUGACUGCAUCGCUGGAGUGCGGCAGAGGGGGAUGGAAUUCCGCGUGUAGCAGUGAAAUGCGUAGAUAUGCGGAGGAACACCGAUGGCGAAGGCAAUCCCCUGGGCCUGCACUGACGCUCAUGCACGAAAGCGUGGGGAGCAAACAGG